UCUGAGUGUAUGUAAAUGAGCUCUCUGUUAUGAUAAAGUAAACAAUCAUUUUUAAAUUCCUUGCUCCUCAAAAUUAUUCUUUUUUUUUUUAAAUAAUUGCCAUAUGGCUCACUGAUUUACAAGGAUGUUAAGAGACUUAAUUAAUGCUUGUUUGGAGCUUUGCCUGACAGGGUUGUUAUUAGAGGAUCCAUUGAGAUUCUGCUCAUAAUAAAAAGUUUGCUGGAAAACCCUACUUUAUUCAAAUAGGGGCACACAGACAACAAGAAGAAUUCCCUAGUCCAUUUUAAUUUAUCACUUAACUGUAUUGGGUGUCUAUUGCCUGGCAUCCAUCAAAAUUGCUAUCACUGGAGGUGAAGCUAUAAGGAAAUGAGAUGGAGAUGUGGAUGGUAUUGGCUGGUGGCUCAGACUGUUCUUAUUUUGGUGGGUCAACUUAACCCUGGCUGUUAGCUGUAUGGGUCCAGAACUGAUUAAGCCCAUAUACCCAAAGGAGUUGAAUCAUCAUCAUCAUCAUCACUAU
rnacentral:lncRNA from 1 species